UUAACUGCGGGGAAGUGAUGGACGUGGGAGGCAGCCAGUAGUAGGCAGGGCUUCGCUGGGGAAGCACCGUGAUUGAUGGAAGCUGCGAUAUUUGGGAGCAGGAGGGGAGGGGAAGAGAGGCGUACUUGUGAGGGUACGGGGUUUCACGCUGGGCGGUGGCGAGGGGGAGUGCGAGGCAGGCCAUGGCAGCAGCCGACGGUCCCAUGCGGCUGCUGGAAGUGUGUGGGCAGAGACUUUCCAGGUUCCUUCACGAUGCUGAGCACAAGCACUUGGCCUGGCUACGGGAGGUGGAGGAGCAGGGCCUGAGGAUGCUGGAUAGCAGCAACUUCAGAGCUGAACCUGGCCUGUUGCCCAAAACGCCAUCCCAGAGGAGACGGCCUAGGAAGAGGCAGUCUUCAGCUCUGAAAGAUGAGAAUGAGCCAACCAGGAGGAGGUUGUCCAGAAGGAGGAGCAGUACCAAGCUAGUGUCUUCCAGGCCAAGUUCCCAAAGACGCUGCAGCAAAGAGCAACCCCAGAACCCUGGCUGUCAAGAGGAAGAGGUGUCCCCACCUGACUGUGCGGUGAGGUCUCAGGCCAACAUUGAAACGGAGCUUCCAGCACUGCCUGAGGAAUUGCCAGCAGAAGCACGAAGUCCCAUGGUGAAAGUUGAUUGCGAUGACUGCCCUCAGGCUGAGUUAACUCCAGAUCGAGACAGUGCUGAUUGCAGUGAUGCAGCCUGCGAGGCUGUUCCAGGGGAGCAGGUGCCUGAGGAGGGUGCAGUCAUUGAACUGUGCAAGGUGCCCACUGUCAGUGCAGUCCCUGAUGACCAGACAGGAGGGGAGGAGGAAGAGACCACCAAACGAAAAGCAAGUACUUCCACUCCCAAGGCUACUAGAAAUAGAGAUCCUGCCAUGCUCCAAGGAGAUCUGUCUUCUCAAGGCCUAGAGGAGGUGCUUUUCCAGGACUCCAACAACAAAAUGACCACGGUGAUAUCCAAAACACGACGUUCUGGACGCCGAAGCUGUGUGGGUGGCUCCCGCAAAAGCCAUAGGACCUCCUUGGCAGAAAAAUAUUCUCUGGCCAGCAAAAGAGAAAGCAUGAUCCGGAGAUCUAUCAGCAGGGCCAUUGCGAAGAAGGCAGCGGCACAAGAAUCUUCCUCUGCCUCCAGCAGAGUGAGCUGUCAAAGCUCCUUAGAGGUUUUUGUGGAAGAAGAUGUGACCAAUAACUUGAGACCUGGACUGGAACUGAACUCCCCAGGUGAAAAGGCUCCUGAAAACUUGCUCACUUCAAGCAAAAGUGAAAAAGCUGCCAGCCCUCCUGCACAGCACUUGUCUCCUUUUGAGCAGCAGACAGGGAAUAAUGAUGGAAGCUGUGUAAAUCCAAAUGGUGAACCUCAGAACAAGAACCAAGAACAAGCCCACUGUGCCAAGUCCCAGCAGAAUCCUUCACGCAUCUGGACAAGAAGCUAUAAACAAGCAAUGGGUGUUAUAUGGAAUGGGCAGCAUCCAGGAGGUUGUGCCCAAUCCCCUCUGGAUGACAAGCAUGUGAAUUCUGCAAACCAGACUCCACCUUCUGCUUCUCCAGCUAGCAAGGUUGUUAGACCACUGAAAAACUUCCUUCAGGCUGUGCAGAGAAACCAGCUACUCGCAACCCCUGGGCCCACAGGACGUGGGGGUGUCAUAAAGAACUUCAUCAAGCGCAAUACUCCCACCCGACCUGAUGUUAAGGGAGACUUUGUUGAGAAGGAGCGGCAGAGACUGGAAAGCCUCAGGAAGAAGCAGGAGGCUGAGGAACAAAGGAAAAAGAAAGUGGAGGAGGAGAAGAAACGGCGGCAGGCAGAAAUGAAGCAGAAGAGGGAAGAGCGACUGAGGAAGGCACUGCAGGCUCGAGAGCGGGUGGAACAAAUGGAAGAGGAGAAGAAAAAGCGGAUGGAACAGAAGAUUUUACAGAGUGAUGAAAAGGUGCGCCUCUCACAAGUGCGGGAAGAAAAGAUGUCAGAGGAACGGAGCAAGAAAAAACUGUCAAAGAAGCCUUGGGAAACCGAUGUACGGAAGCAGAAAACACUGAAGCUGGAGGAAGAUAAAUCUGAGCAGCAAGAACUACUGCAGAAAAGGAGAGAAAUUGGAGUGGAAGAAAAAGGAAAAGUUUUGGAACUGAAAAAGCUUGUAGAGCAGCGACAGGUGGAACAAGUGAAAGAGAGGGAUCUCAAACAGUGGGAGAAAGGAAAGGCCCCCCAUUCACAGACAGAGUCCAUGGUGCUAACUGAUGAAAACACAAAGAAGGGAGAUGGUCUGCAGGAGCCCCAGCAGCAGCUGGCAGAAGAGAAAAAGAUUGAGCAACCAGAAUCUUUUACUGCUGCCUCCAGCAUGUGGCUGAGCAAAACUGUAAAGAAAUCUAUCUCCGCAUCCUGCUUAGUGCCUCCAAAGGGCACAAAAGAAUCCAGGUCCCCCAAUAACUACGGGAUGGAUCUGAACAGUGAUGAUUCCACAGAUGAUGAGAAUGAACCUCGGAAGCCUGUCCCUGCCUGGGCCGAUGGGACUCAGCUUAAUCAAGCCAUUCUGCACCAAUACUAUCAUCCAGUGAAUGUUGACCAACUCUUUGGGUUAAUAGCAAGCCCUAAGCUGGAAGAUAUUUUUGGCAAGAGCAAGCCUCGGUAUUUCAAACGCACGAGCUCAGCAGUUUGGCAUUCUCCACCUGGGCCCAAAUCUACUUGUGGCAUAGCUUGCAACUUCAAAAACUGAGAAAACAGAAAUGUUUUUGGACAGCGUGACAUAUCGGGUUUUAUUUUCUUAGCAUACAGACUGCUUACAGUUUUAAACCUUUUCGUACAAAAAUAAAAACAUUGAAUAAAGUCCACCAGUGCUUGUUUCUGUCCUUUCCCCUUUAAGCUAGGAUGAUGCUGUAGCUUUGAGAUUGCUGGCUGUGGUUUGUGCAAGUGCAGAUGUUUGAAGAUAGCAUGUUGCUCCGUUACGUAUUUCCUCAAAUUACUUGCAGAAUAUUACCCAAGAAAGCUAUGAAACUGCUGUGGGGAAAAUAAUUUUUUUAAAUCAACAGUGAGGGGGGUGUAAUGUUUUCAUAACCCAUCCUGUAUAAUAGUUACAUAUUUAACAAUGCUUCUGUCCACUAGUGUCUUUCUUUUAAUCCCGCAUUUUUCUGAUCUUUAGUUACUGGACCAGAAUCUUUUUCUUCAUCUAGAAAAGUCUGUUCAGACUCUUGAAAGAAUUUAUAAAUGUCCUGUAAUUGCUUUGGCUUUUCUCGUGGAAAAAUAGAACCAAAGCAAAUUCUUAGUGCUGUUUUCCUAGGAGGGUUGAGGAUACAGUCUUGCUUUUAGGCAGGAGUCGGGUUUAUUUUAAAGCUGUGAGUUAGAAAAGGUAAGCAGUGAAGUGACUUCCUUCGGACUGCAUUGAGAUCAUCUGUUCAGUGCCCCCUGCUUGUGCGCACCCAGGGCUGUGCUGAGUGGCAGCAGACUCCCUGCAGUGCAUCCGGUGGCUCUGCUGCAGGUUGCCUAGGGACUGCUCUAGCGUGCUGGGCCAGCUGCAGAGCAUCCCAAGCUCCUGCAGAGCUGCACAGAGCCAGCUAUUGUCCAUGCUGUGCAUCUCCUGUCCUUAGGACCCCUGAAGGGCAAGCCCACGCAGUCAAUGACGCUCAAAGAGAAGGUAAGCUAGUUAAGCCCUGCAGAAUGCAGUUAUGAGGAAGAUGUUUAUAUGAAAAGGGAAAGUCCCUGAGUGACAGCCAAGUCCCACAUUGGCCAUAAUAACCAUUCCUUCUCCUCUCUUGGGCUGUGUUCACGGGUACAGCAGAGAGUAUAUCAUGCCUUAGGUGAUACAGUGUGGUGCUCUAGGCCAGCAAGCAGGUACAGGGCUGGGGCUUACUUAUUUCUCUGAGAGAUCACUGCUCGAGUGCCUAGAGAUUAAGAGCAUCCCCACUCCUGCUCCAGUGCAGCCCUGCACUGCCCUAGUGCUGGGCCAGUAUUGUGUGUUCUCUGUGCAACUGACCCCACAGGGGCAGACAUGGAAAUGUAGCUAGUGACCAGUUCAGAGCUGUUACGUUGCCCCAAGUCUUUUGGGUUUCCCCAGCUUUUCUGGUUCCUCUUGACCUCUCUCUCUGACUCUUGUCUGUGGGCCUCUCAGUGAGUCUUGCUUCUCUGGCCAGUCUCGCUCUGAUCCUCUUUAUGGUCCCUGGGCUCUGCUGAGCUAUUUCAGGCUCCUCUGAGCACAGACCCAGGCUCUCUCCUGCCAGCUGAUCUGUCACUGAUGAUAAUCCCCAAAUUACCUCAUUAGAGCCAAGAAGGCAAUGACUUCAGGAUCCUGGUAGAGGAGGAAGCUGGAGGUCAAGCUCUCGUUUGGAACUGGCCAAAUGUGCCUGGCUGGAGAAGGAGUGAGGUUUCCUGGCAGAGACAAAACAGGAGCUGUGAUUUAACAUCAGGCUUGGUGGGGAACUGGUUUCAUUUCAGACCAAACUCUGUGCCAGAGCAAGCAGCAUGCAGCAAACCACAAACCUGACUUUCUGGUGUUGAGCAGGAAGUUCACAGGAGGGCCUUUGCCAAAACCACGGCUGCUGUCAGAGCAUUUCAACUCUGGGACAGGUAAUCAUUAAAAGACAUGAAGCAAUUUCAGAGGAAGUGGCUGGGGCCAAGAAGGUGGCAGGGUCCUGCUGGGCUCUGAGGAAACCUGGGAGGUCUGGUUCCUAGUGUAGUACUGAUUUAGGCAUCACACUGGUGCCAUUCAUCACUCUUUCCUGCGCUGAGAGCUGUGCUGGAUCUAGAGUGACUGGAAAACUUAAGUGGGUUUGUGCUUAAUCAAGCUAGCUGCUUGUUGUGUAGUGGUGCUAGUAGCACCUCUAGUGCUACCAUUACUCUCCUAGUAAUGGGAGAGAAAACAGACCCCUGGGCCUGGUACCAUCCCUAGGGCAUGCUUUGGCCUUGGGAGGCAUUGCUACUGACCCCAGGAAUGAAUGGAAAUAUUAGAAGCUUGAUCAAAGCACAAAUCACAAUGAAUAAGCUAUGGAGAGUGGAGAAACACCUUGUCAUUUAAGGUGUGCUUUGGGGUGCUCCCAACUCCAGGGAGCAAACACUGAAGUUUCACAGAUUUUUCCAUUGUCUCACCCUAGUUUUCUGCACCCUCAGCUCUGUUCCUUCCUCUUCACGCAGGAGGAGGUCUUAUCUGGAUCUGUAAUGUGUGAACAUAGUUCAGUUCCAGGUAGUAAUUUCUGUGCUCCUCAGGAGGAUCGGCCCUGACCCUGUGCAACCAGAGCCUGGCAAUGCAUGUUGGAAGGUGCGUUUAGCAUUACAAGGAUCUCUUCCCAAUCUGAUGUGCAUGGAGUCUGUAACAGCUGUAUCUGCUUUUCUGUUUGUUGUUGUAUUUCCUUGUUCACAUGUCCCUGGGGGCAAUGAUGCUGAGAGUGGCUCCAGCUCACUCCGAAGUGAAAAAUACAGUGCAAAUCUCCUAGCUGUAAGUGGAAAAAUACAAUGCAAAUCUCCGAGCUGUAAGUGAAAAGAUGCCUAAGUGCAGCUGCAAGGCAGUACCCAGCAGUAAUGGCACAGUGCUGUAGCACAUGAACAGGAAGCCAAGCCAACCAAGCAGCAUCCUCUUGACCACAGAGCAAGGCCUGGGACAAAGAGCCAUGUUGUGUGAAAGGAUGAGCUGAAUCCACCUCCAAGAGAUUCCCUCUUUCUAAGCUUUAGUGUCAGGGCUGAGUACUGGGGUGAAAAAUGUCACCCCUGCUAAGGGAUGGUUCCAUCCCUUCUCAGGGGUACUAUAAUUCUUCCAUCUGACCUAGACACUGAAAAUGAGUUUUCUCUGUUACAGUGUUGUAGUAGAGACUCAUUAACUUAAAAAUGUGGUACCAAAUUAUAUCGACAGGAAGUGCAAUAAUAAGGGGUAGGCCCCUUUGACUUACAGUUCUGUCAUGCCUGAGGCUAUCUUCAGUAUCCGCAAAUAGGCCUCUCUCAUUUCUUUCAAUUUUUUUUCUCCCUCACAUAGGCUCAUCAGAAGAGUCAAAACACGUUCCUGCAGCCUUUCAGCGGGUGUGCAGUGUCUCUGCUGUGCCAGCAGGCAUGGGGAGAGCUGUGACCUGAGCUGGGCGCUUGCAUAUGCCCCAGCCCCUGCUUUGCUUCCUCCUGUAGCUCUCCAGCAACUUCUUGCCCUGCAUUAUCAUAAAGCUCCCAGCAAUAGGUGAAGGGGCUGUAGUCAAACCCCACAAACUCCUUGUCCAGUGUCUGCCAUCUUGCCCGUGCCUCCCAGGAGCACAUCAACACUCUCAGAUACAGGGUUUGAUUUUUGGGUGGUCCUGUAUGGAGCCAGGAGUUGGACUGCAGUGGUCCUUGUUGGGUCCCUUCCAACUUGGGAUAUUCUAAGAACUUGGGGUCUAGCCUUGGGCCCCUCAGCUUUCACUGAGCAAAGCAGCCACGUUGCAGAGCUGACUCUGCUCCAACAACACUAUCAGUCACAGUGUCCAGGGCAGUGCUGCCGCCACAGCAAUCUAACACGAGGUUUUUGGUGUCUGUCCAGCUGGCCUUCUCCAUCUGCCCUGAAAGAAUGAGCCUCCUCCCCUGUAGCUCUCCACACAUCCCACCAUUCUUAAAAUCCAGCUCUGAAAGGGCAGCAGUGCCAUUGGGAAAGCCCCAUCCCUGUCUGACACGUGCCACCAGCUGAGCCACAGUGUCCUACCACUGGGGAAGAGGCUGCUCCACCUGAAAGUCCCAAGUCUGGCUCAAGCAAAAAGCUUCAGAAGCUCAGGUGGUGUCAGGGCAAAGCACCUAAAACGUAGCAGACUCUAAAACUAGCAGUGGCUAGUGCCACUGUCAGGGGAAGGGGCGGGAUGGGGAGCAACCUUGGGGCCGAAAUUCAGGCUAAAUCGAGGCUCCUCCCAGCAAUUGGCAUAGUCCUGGCAAUGAGGAACAGCUGUAAGCAAGCGCUGCUUUUCUGAGACUGAACCGGCAAAAAUGAGGUAACGACACGCACGGCAUGAAAAGAAAUGGAGAGCAGGCGGUGCCCCACCUGCAGCUCCUGUCUGCACAACAGCCUUCAGUUUUGAUAGUGUUUGUAGAUAAAGGCAUCGCAGGAAGGAAAACCAUCUACUUCCUUACUGAAACUACAAAGACAAAUCCGACAGGAGCAAAACCUGCUUAGCUGAUUACAAAGUAUUGAGAAGUUGUAAAAUCCUACCUUGGCACGAAUGCGCUGUGCUGGGCUCAGAAAGCAGAUUUGGGUUCUGGCUUUCUGCCACCAGCUCGUAAUUACAAAGUGUCAGCUAAACUAAAAAUGUUUCUUGGAUGGAAAGAGACCCAAAACAAAGUCAAACAAAGCCCUUUCUUGAGCACGUGCACUAAAUGAAGUGGGCUACCAGGUGAUUCCCAUGAAAAGAGAUGAAGCCCAACCUGAGCAUAAGGUGAAGUCACUGAGCUGAGCUCCCAGAGGCCCUGCUCUGAGGGAUGAGCCUGGCUGGGGGCCUGUGGAUGCACAGGGGGCAGCCCCAGUGCUGAGGGAAUAUUACCAAUGCCUUCUUAAAAAAGCAAAGGGAGAAUGCAAACUUGGAGCAAUCAUCUGUAAAGGCAGCAUUUUUCUGCUUG